rnacentral:rRNA from 1 species
AUGAACACAAGAUGCAUCGGCUCCACCAAUGACUGGAUCGUGCUCGACCGCAUGGACGGCGUUACGCAAAAGCAUACAUACGCAUUGCACAACCACUUCCUCGAUGUCGCAGUGCUGUUGCCGGAGCUGAACUCCAUAAUCGGGAAUGUUCCUGAGAAGUUUGAGAUCCGGAAGGUUCUCAUGCGGUCGACACCCGACGAUCUCGUUGCGGUCACAAGCAACAUCUGCAGGUACCCUUUCAUUUUGUGCCGACCUGGUAAGGGAGCGUGGGUGGCGGGGCCAUUAGCUAUGCCGUACUUUCGUAUCAUCGAUUUUGCGUUCCUCGGAGACAUGCUCUACGUGAUCACCAAGGCCGAGAGCCUCUACGCCAUCCACCUCACCGAAGACGAUGAUGGCAAGCCCGAUGUCUCCUUUGUCGAACGGAUCACCAGGCACACCCCUUACCCUAAUGGUGAUAGGUACAAUAAUGACAUGUGGAUGGGUACAAGUGACAACGAUGCGUCAAGCAGUGAGGAUGAAGAUGACAACUAUGAUGCGUUGAGUCAAGAAGAAGCCCCCGAUGAAUUGGUCGGUGAUGCUAGUGACAUUGACGAUGACAAUGACCGCUCCUCUGCCUACAAUUGUACGUUGUCUGAUUGUGAAGAGGUCGUGAACUCCAAAGGAUGCAACUUACUCACGACUUACAGACACCUCGUUGAGUCCCACGGUAAGUUGCUCAUGGUUAAGCGGCAAUGCUUACUCACGGCUUUCACUCCAAACCACCACACUCGCAAGGUCGAAGUCUUUGAGGCGGACGUGGACAAAGGCACAUGGGUACCAGUGACACGUGGGCUAGGUGGCGGUCAUGCGAUAUUCAUCAGUCAUGGCUUCAACAAUAUAGUUGCUGCCUGUGGGGAAGUGAAAGAGGAUGACAUAUAUUUUCCCGACACGAACGAUGUGUUUGAGAUGCAAACCGGGAUUAUUAGAACUUUAGGACCCAUAAGUCGGUUAGACGCCUGUUGGAGGACGUGUGUCUUUCCACCGGACCUAGUUGUUUAA